GAGUUUGAUCUUGCUCAGAUUGAACGCUGGCGGCAUGCCUUACACAUGCAAGUCGAACGGCAGCACGGGAGCUUGCUCCUGGUGGCGAGUGGCGAACGGGUGAGUAAUGCAUCGGAACGUAUCCUGGAGUGGGGGAUAACGUAGCGAAAGUUACGCUAAUACCGCAUAUUCUGUGAGCAGGAAAGCGGGGGACCUUCGGGCCUCGCGCUCUUGGAGCGGCCGAUGUCGGAUUAGCUAGUUGGUGAGGUAAAGGCUCACCAAGGCGACGAUCCGUAGCAGGUCUGAGAGGAUGAUCUGCCACACUGGAACUGAGACACGGUCCAGACUCCUACGGGAGGCAGCAGUGGGGAAUUUUGGACAAUGGGGGCAACCCUGAUCCAGCCAUGCCGCGUGAGUGAAGAAGGCCUCGG
rnacentral:rRNA from 1 species